rnacentral:piRNA from 2 species
UGGAAAUUCCGUUAGGAUGGAGGC